UCAUGGGUUGGGAUUUAUGGCAGGCCCAUCCCCCCUGGGUCUCUCAUAGUGCACUAUGCCACAGCCAACUUUGGGCUUUAACCCUUGUCUGGCCUUGGCCCAUAGGCUGCUGGCACUGACAUGGGUUAUAGUGAA